GACGAAUGCUGACGGCGUGCUUAACACAUGCAAGUCGAAGGGAGUGGCGAACGGGUGAGUAACACGUGAGUAACCUGCCUUCUUCUUUUGGAUAAGCCUGGGAAACUGGGUCUAAUACUGGAUGGCUUGUGAUGGGUGCGCGGCUUCUCAGCUGGUUGGUGGGGUGAUGGCUUACCAAGGCUUUGACGGGUAGCCGGCAUGAGAGGGUGGUCGUGAACACUGGGACUGUGAUACGGCCCAGACUCCUACGGGAUGCAGCAGUGGGGGAUAUUGCACAAGGGACGAAAGUCUGAUGCAGCGACGUCGUGUGGGGGAUGAAGGCCUUCGGGUUGUAAACUCCUUUCGCCCGCGGAAUGGUAGUGGGUAAAGAAGCGCCGGCUAACUACGUGCCAGCAGCCGCGGUAAUUC
rnacentral:rRNA from 1 species